GACGGGGGGGGGCAAGUGUUCUUCGGAAUGACUGGGCGUAAAGGGCGCGUAGGCGGAUGGCACAGUCAGAUGUGAAAUUCCCGGGCUUAACCUGGGGGCUGCAUUUGAUACGUGUGAUCUAGAGUGAGGAAGAGGGUCGUGGAAUUCCCAGUGUAGAGGUGAAAUCGUAGAUAUUGGGAAGAACACCGGUGGCGAAGGCGGCGACCUGGUCCUUGACUGACGCUGAGGCGCGAAAGCGUGGGGAGCAAACAGG
rnacentral:rRNA from 1 species